AGAGCACUGACCAGUUGGCCCACAAUGCGUGUGUGUGGCAAGGGGUGAAGGGUUAAGAGGAGAAAGUUCUAUUCCCGGCAAGAACAAGAUGUUUCCUCUACCAGAAUUGGCGGGAGACAGCCAGCGCCCAGCCAGAGGGACCAGUCAAGCAGAUGCUUAUCAUAAGCCAGAGGACAACCCCCUUCUACGUUCAUCUGGAAUCACGGAGGUCAGCUGCCUCACACCUCAGGCCAAGAGAGGGAGUGGUGACACUGUGGCACUGAGAGAAUGAGGACUGACUCUGAAGGGCUGGCUAAUCCCUCCUGGGAGCAGGGAAUGAGGACAGUGCUGAAAGCAAUUUUGAAUGCUUUUGUUUGUGACCACCAAUUCUUUGUCAUUUUCCCCCUACAAAGUAUGUUACAAAGUAACCUGUGAGAUGACUGCAGUGAAAUUACAGGUUACAGCGAAAACAUGGUCAGGGCAAGGAGCUUCCCAGUGGGAAUACUUUCUUUUUCAUUUUAUAAAAAAAUAAAAGCUUUGUACUAAGAAAUUAAACUAUUUUU
rnacentral:lncRNA from 1 species